GCCAGGUGUGGUGGCGCAUGCCUGUAAUCCCAGCUACUUGGGAGGCUGAGGCAUGAGAAUCGCUUGAACCCAGGAGGUAGAGUUUGCAGUGAACUGAGGUCAUGCCACUGCAUUCCAGCCUGGGCAACAAAGUGACAUCGUGUCUCAG
rnacentral:SRP_RNA from 1 species